AAUAAUAUGAGCUAGGACAUUUGUCCACCUUAUUUUGCAAUGCAUAAGUAAGUUUUUCAUAGGUAAAUAACAAUAACUUAGAAAGUGCAGUUUUAUUUACACUAAAAACCAGUGUGUAAUAUGAUAAUAAAUAAAGAUAAUAGCCUUUGAUAAGAAAUACCAGUUUGCAAUAUCAAGCAGUAAAGGGGGCUGUUUUUGUACAGCUAAUACAACUGGAACUGAAUGACACUGGAAUUUUUGCACAUGCAAUUUACAAAUGGCCGCAAUUGCUCUAAUAUUAAUACAUAUAGCCUCGUUUUCAUUUAACUCAAUAUGGCGUCUUAAACGAAUAAGGUCUAUAGUCAUACCAGUAUAAAUAUUGUUAAGUACACAUUUUGAUGUAAUUAUCUUACAGUCUGAGGGGGGUAUUUGCAACAGUAACAGUACCACAAUAUUAAAAGUAGAACAGGCUUGUCGCUGUAAAAGCGCUGGUGGUCGGAGUCCCCCUCGGUAGGGUCCCUGUGGUGAGGCAGUGCUUGAUCGCUGAAGGAAUACUGAGAGUGAGUGAGCGAGCGCCCUCGCGGAGUUACAAACUGGAUGGAGCCAACUGAAGUACAUACUUUAGUUAUAUUAAGUGGAUUUUGACAGCGGAUCUCUGGCUUCAGUCUGACGACGUUUCCCACUGGAUCUUAUAGCGUGCCCACUGGGGAAAAUAAAUCAUUAUUUGCAAGAAACAUAGCUGGCAUGCGCUAAUAUGGAAACCAAACCAUUCUUGUCUCUAGGGCUCCUGAAAAACCCCUGCUCAGUAGCGCCACCGUGUUUGCGGAGCCGGCCGGGCGACGCUGGCAGUUCGUCCAAUGGCUGCUCCGGCUUCACGGGUACAUACCCGCUACAACAGCGCAGGAUAUCCACAGACUCCUCUGGUCAGCUCUCGUCGCCUCCCCUGAGCUCCGUGGGUCACCGAGGCAUCAGUAACCAUCCUCUCCACCCGCCUCUGCUCAGCCCUUCCGCCAUGAACUCCAGCCCGGGUCAGCUGCACUCGCCCAUCAGCACCCUCAGCUCGCCCAUCAACGGCUUGCCCUCGCCGUUCCCCGUCAUCAACUCGCCCAUGGGCCACCCCUCCACUAGCAUGACCUUCAGACCCAGCCUGAGCCCACAGCUCAGUUCACCCAUGAAUGCCGUCAGUAGUAGUUCAGAGGACAUUAAACCCCCUCUGGGUCUGAACGGGGUGAUGAAGGUCCCAGCGCAGCCCACAGGCACAUCCCUCUCCCUCACUAAACACAUCUGUGCCAUUUGUGGAGACCGUUCAUCAGGUAAACACUACGGGGUGUACAGCUGUGAGGGCUGUAAGGGCUUCUUCAAGAGAACGGUGAGAAAGGAUUUGACGUACACUUGCAGAGACAACAAGGACUGUAUAAUUGACAAACGCCAACGCAACCGCUGCCAGUACUGCCGCUAUCAGAAGUGCUUAGCCAUGGGAAUGAAGAGAGAAGCCGUUCAGGACGAGCGACAGCGGGCGAAGGAGCGGAGUGAGGCUGAGUUCGGCAGCUGUGCCAAUGAGGACAUGCCCGUGGAGAAGAUUCUGGAAGCCGAACUGGCAGUGGAACCAAAGACGGAGACCUACGUGGAGGCCAACCUGAGUGCGCCUGCCAAUUCUCCUAACGACCCUGUAACAAACAUCUGCCAAGCAGCUGACAAGCAACUCUUUACCUUAGUGGAGUGGGCCAAGCGGAUACCUCACUUUUCUGAUCUCCCGCUGGACGAUCAAGUCAUCCUCCUGAGAGCAGGGUGGAAUGAACUCCUGAUCGCCUCUUUUUCACAUCGUUCUAUAGCUGUGAAAGAUGGGAUAUUAUUAGCCACAGGCCUUCACGUCCAUAGGAACAGUGCACACACUGCCGGUGUGGGAGCCAUCUUUGACAGAGUGCUGACGGAGCUUGUGUCAAAGAUGAGAGACAUGCAAAUGGACAAGACUGAACUUGGAUGCCUGCGGGCCAUUGUUCUGUUCAAUCCAGAUUCAAAAGGACUGUCUAAUCCAUCAGAGGUGGAGGCAUUAAGGGAAAGAGUGUAUGCAUCUCUAGAGGCCUACUGUAAACACAAAUAUCCCGAUCAGCCUGGAUCCUUCAUUAUUUCACUUGCUCAUCUCUCUGAAAAAGCGAGCUAUCCAGUGCGUUGUUAUUGGCCGAAUGCCUCAAGCGUGUGA
rnacentral:lncRNA from 1 species